rnacentral:rRNA from 1 species
GAUGAACGCUGACAGCAUGCUUAACACAUGCAAGUCAACUGUGGCGGACGGGUGAGUAACGCGUACAGAACUUGCCUCACAGCUAGGGACAACAUUUGGAAACGAAUGCUAAUACCUGAUACUGUGAGAGAGCUUUGCGUCCCAUUGGCUAGGUGGAGAGGUAACGGCUCACCAAGGCGAUGAUGGGUAGCCGGCCUGAGAGGGUGAUCGGCCACAAGGGGACGGAGACACGGCCCUGACGCCUACGGGAGGCAGGAGUGGGGGAUGGUGAACAAUGGACCAGAGUCUGAUCCAGCAAUUCGGUGUGCACGAUGAAGUUUUCGGAAUGUAAAGUGCUUUCAGUAGGGAAGCGGUACCAACAGAAGAAGUGACGGCUAAAUACGUGCCAGCAGCCGCGGUAAUAC